rnacentral:rRNA from 1 species
CGUAACCUACGGGACGCAGCAGUGAGGAAUAUUGGUCAAUGGGCGAGAGCCUGAACCAGCCAAGUCGCGUGGAGGAUGACAGCCCUACGGGUUGUAAACUUCUUUUGUCAGGGAGCAAUUGAGUCCACGUGUGGGCUUAGCGAGAGUACCUGAAGAAAAAGCAUCGGCUAACUCCGUGCCAGCAGCCGCGGUAAUACGGAGGAUGCGAGCGUUAUCCGGAUUUAUUGGGUUUAAAGGGUGCGUAGGCGGAAUAUCAAGUCAGCGGUAAAAAUUCGGGGCUCAACCCCGUCGUGCCGUUGAAACUG